CCUACGGGUGGCAGCAGUGAGGAAUAUUGGUCAAUGGACGAGAGUCUGAACCAGCCAAGUAGCGUGAAGGAUGACUGCCCUAUGGGUUGUAAACUUCUUUUAUAUGGGAAUAAAAUGUUCCACGUGUGGGAUUUUGUAUGUACCAUAUGAAUAAGGAUCGGCUAACUCCGUGCCAGCAGCCGCGGUAAUACGGAGGAUCCGAGCGUUAUCCGGAUUUAUUGGGUUUAAAGGGAGCGUAGGUGGAUUGUUAAGUCAGUUGUGAAAGUUUGCGGCUCAACCGUAAAAUUGCAGUCGAAACUGGCAGUCUUGAGUACAGUAGAGGUGGGCGGAAUUCGUGGUGUAGCGGUGAAAUGCUUAGAUAUCACGAAGAACUCCGAUUGCGAAGGCAGUUCACUGGACUGCAACUGACGCUGAGGCUCGAAAGUGUGGGUAUCAAACAGGAUUAGAUACCCGUGUAGUC
rnacentral:rRNA from 1 species